rnacentral:rRNA from 1 species
GACGAACGCUGGCGGCGUGCCUAAUACAUGCAAGUUGAGCGCUGAAGGUUGGUACUUGUACCAACUGGAUGAGCAGCGAACGGGUGAGUAACGCGUGGGGAAUCUGCCUUUGAGCGGGGGACAACAUUUGGAAACGAAUGCUAAUACCGCAUAAAAACUUUAAACACAAGUUUUAAGUUUGAAAGAUGCAAUUGCAUCACUCAAAGAUGAUCCCGCGUUGUAUUAGCUAGUUGGUGAGGUAAAGGCUCACCAAGGCGAUGAUACAUAGCCGACCUGAGAGGGUGAUCGGCCACAUUGGGACUGAGACACGGCCCAAACUCCUGCGGGAGGCAGCAGGAGGGAAUCUUCGGCAAUGGACGAAAGUCUGACCGAGCAACGCCGCGUGAGUGAAGAAGGUUUUCGGAUCGUAAAACUCUGUUGGUAGAGAAGAACGUUGGUGAGAGUGGAAAGCUCAUCAAGUGACGGUAACUACCCAGAAAGGGACGGCUAACUACGUG